GGCAUUUAUUCUGAGAUUACAAACAAAAGUGGUGAUUAAGACAUUGCAGAAAGAAAUGGUAAAUAAAACACUUCAUAAAAUACAAAUGUGUGGUGGAUUUGGUUUCUCUUGGCUUUGUCCUGUUUUUAUUUAGCGUUCAACUGCUUUGCACACCUUCUGUGGCAUCUCUUUUAUCCAGUUGGUAGUUGUCACAUUAGAGCACAAUGCGCAAGUUUUUCAUGGCAAGAUAUAUUUCAUCUAUUUGCUAGCAGGAAUAAUUUGUUUUCAAAUAGUGAUGGGGCAAGCAAAUGAAACAGGCUGAAGGUGCUGCUAUUUGGAAAACAACAGCUGCAGAGCUGUUGAUUGUUGGC
ensembl:lncRNA